GAUGAACGCUGGCGGCGUGCCUAAUACAUGCAAGUCGAGCGAACAGAUGAGGAGCUUGCUCCUCUGACGUUAGCGGCGGACGGGUGAGUAACACGUGGAUAACCUACCUAUAAGACUGGGAUAACUUCGGGAAACCGGAGCUAAUACCGGAUAAUAUAUUGAACCGCAUGGUUCAAUAGUGAAAGACGGUUUUGCUGUCACUUAUAGAUGGAUCCGCGCCGCAUUAGCUAGUUGGUAAGGUAACGGCUUACCAAGGCGACGAUGCGUAGCCGACCUGAGAGGGUGAUCGGCCACACUGGAACUGAGACACGGUCCAGACUCCUACGGGAGGCAGCAGUAGGGAAUCUUCCGCAAUGGGCGAAAGCCUGACGGAGCAACGCCGCGUGAGUGAUGAAGGUCUUCGGAUCGUAAAACUCUGUUAUUAGGGAAGAACAAAUGUGUAAGUAACUAUGCACGUCUUGACGGUACCUAAUAAGAAAGCCACGGCUAACUACGUG
rnacentral:rRNA from 1 species